AUUCCAUCGUCUUCCUUAUUAAAAAACCUUAGAGGACCCUUAAACACAACACAGCACCCGCCGCUGAGCACAAACGAUUCCCUUCCCCAUCGGAUUUGGAGCUUUUGCUCCUUCACGUUUCAAGACCCCCUCAAGCUUCUUCUUCAAAAAUGAAAGCCAAAAAAAGAACCUUAUGAGCUUAAAGACGAUCAGCUUCAUCGGUUUGAACCAUUGUUAAAGUCAAACUCCUUCUUCGCUCGCUGGAUCUGGUCGCUGGCGGUGGCUUGGCGAUGAUGAUCUCCGAGGAGCCAUGAAAACUGGUCAGAAGCUCUGAUAAGAGCUCAAAAAUCCAGCUCUUUUGCCCAACUCCUCACCUCCAAAACAGUCUCUGAAAAUAGCUAAAGUGUCUUAAUCAAGUCGAGUCUCUCGUUGGUUCAAAGUCGAGUUGGGUCUGUUCAGUUUUGUUCGAGAUUCCGGCGAGGUUCCGGCCCUACUAUGUUUUCUGUUCGAGUUUGAGUCGGGAUAGUCGAGGUUCGUGAGGUCUUCGGCGAGCCGGACUCCAGUCAGAUUCCUUUUCUUUAUCUCAUUCGAUUUCCUAAGUUUUCUCAUACAGGUGUUGUCUAUUUACCGGAUUUUGAGCAUGGCAGACACCCCGGGACCAUCCAGUCAGGAUCGCUCAUCCAGGAGUUGCUUAAGGAGGUUUUUCUUUUGUUGAGUCUAUUUUUCUUUUAUGUCACCUUUUACAUUCUACUUUUGUACAGUAAUGUCGAGUCUUUGUUAUGGUAUUUCCUAUUUUGUAUGUGAAAAAAAAUGUGUAAUAAAUCAAAAAUCCAAAAAAAAGAGAUUUUACGUUUUUAUAUUUCUA